rnacentral:rRNA from 1 species
GGUGAUAGUCCCGUACACCAAAAUGCACAGGCUGUGAACUCGAAGAGUAGGGCGGGACACGUGGUAUCCUGUCUGAAUAUGGGGGGACCAUCCUCCAAGGCUAAAUACUCCUGACUGACCGAUAGUGAACCAGUACCGUGAGGGAAAGGCGAAAAGAACCCCGGCGAGGGGAGUGAAAAAGAACCUGAAACCGUGUACGUACAAGCAGUGGGAGCACCUUCGGGUGUGACUGCGUACCUUUUGUAUAAUGGGUCAGCGACUUAUAUUCUGUAGCAAGGUUAACCGUAUAGGGGAGCCGCAGGGAAACCGAGUCUUAACUGGGCGUUAAGUUGCAGGGUAUAGACCCGAAACCCGGUGAUCUAGCCAUGGGCAGGUUGAAGGUUGGGUAACACUAACUGGAGGACCGAACCGACUAAUGUUGAAAAAUUAGCGGAUGACUUGUGGCUGGGGGUGAAAGGCCAAUCAAACCGGGAGAUAGCUGGUUCUCCCCGAAAGCU